GCCCUGCUAUCUCAGUCGGUUGAGCAUGAGACUCUUAAUCUCAGGGUCAUGGGUUCGAGCCCCACAUUGGGCA
rnacentral:tRNA from 1 species